GGUGGCUCAGUGGUAGAGUGCUUGCCUUGUUUGCAGGAGGUCCUGGGUUCAAUUCCUCAGCACCA
rnacentral:tRNA from 1 species